CAGCUUCUGUAGUCAAACACCUGAAGAGCCCAUGUUUAAAUGCCUGUAGACUUUAUGUUUAGCCUGUGUUUCAGUGUGUAAACGAUUGAGCAGCUGGGGACCGAGGAUGGACGGUGGUACACAUUCUGUCCUCUUUGCACUUUAGUUUGUGUGUAAGCUUCUGUGUUUGGUCUGGGUGCUUUUGGCGAGUCCACUUGUGCUCUCCAAAAGCACGACCACGCAACCACGCCGAGUUUAAGGGUCCCUGGAAGUAGCAGAAAAUAAAAGCGAGCUCUCGGAGACCCACGAACUACUCCAACUUCCUCAGGAGUCCAAGCCAACUAAGCACAAAAACAAAAUACUCACCUGGUGCCCAGGCUGUCAGCCCACCCGUGUUCCUAGCACAGGCCCCCAGAGAGCAGGUGCAGAACUAACGCUUUCCGAGUCGUUUGUCUGCUUGUUACUAGAUAAGCUCAGUGGUGAGAGAGAUGGCCAGCCACCUGCAGGCGAGGUGUUCCAUCUGUAAUCAGCACCUUGAGCCAAGCACCUCUGUGGCUCUCGGAGUUAAUUCAGUGCCAGUGGAUGGCCAUUUCAAUGUCACGUUGAAGCACCUUUAAUGUUUUGUUGUUGUUAUUAUUUUAAAAUAAUGUAUUUGUGAAGUGGAUAAAAGAAACACUGGAAACCGGGUGCUUCUGAAAACAUCAAGUAUAAAACAUGAACAAGGUCUGUGGUGCUCUAUCCAGCUGUGCAAACAACCCUGAAGAUGGGUGGAGUGGUUAGUUCUCUGCUUUGGCUGAUUGUGCCUGAGAGUGUAUUUAUUUGUUAAGCCUUACGUUCAGAAGAAAUACACCUUGAAUUUUGGCUAACAUUAUAGAACGUUCUGAAAAUUGCCUUCUACAUUUUUUAACACAAUUUAAUCAUUUUUAUAAAUUAAGGCCACUUUUGGACAGCCUUCUUGUACCAGAGACCAAUUACCAUCCGUUGGUCUGCAGGCCUCUUUUUAUUAUGUCCUUGUAAUAAUGUAAAAUAUUUACAGC
rnacentral:lncRNA from 1 species